GACGAACGCUGGCGGCGUGCCUAACACAUGCAAGUCGAACGGACAGGUCCUGCUUUUGUGCGGAGCUCGAGUGGCGAACGGGUGAGUUACACGUGAGUAACCUGUACCUGACUUAGGGUUAUCUUCAGGAAAAUGGGGCUCUUACCGGAUAGGAGUUCUUGCCGCAUGGUGGGGGUUGGAAAGUUUCGGUGGUUGGGGAUGGAAUCGCGGCUUAUCAGCUUGUUGAUGGGGUAGUGGCUUACCAAGGCUUUGACAGGUAGCAGACCUGAGAGGUUAACCUGCCACAUUACGACUGAGAUGCGGCCCAGACUCCUACGGUAGGCAACGGUGGGGAAUAUUGCACAGUGGGCGGAGGCCUGAUGCGGCGACGCCGCGUGCGGUAUGACGGCCUUCUGGUUGUAAACCACUUUCGCCUGUACCGGAACGUGAUUGACGGUAAUGGGUAAAGAAGCACCGGCUAACUACGUG
rnacentral:rRNA from 1 species